rnacentral:rRNA from 1 species
GUGACAGCAGCCGCGGUAAUACGUAGGGUGCGAGCGUUAAUCGGAAUUACUGGGCGUAAAGCGUGCGCAGGCGGUUCGUCGUGUCCGAUGUGAAAGCCCCGGGCUCAACCUGGGAAUGGCAUUGGAGGACUGGCGGGCUGGAGUGCGGCAGAGGGGGGUGGAAUUCCGCGUGUAGCAGUGAAAUGCGUAGAGAUGCGGAGGAACACCGAUGGCGAAGGCAGCCCCCUGGGCCGACACUGACGCUCAGGCACGAAAGCGUGGGGAGCAAACAGGAUUAGAUACCCGUGUAGUCC